rnacentral:rRNA from 1 species
UACAGAGGAGCCAAGCGUUGUCCGGAUUGACUGGGCGUAAAGCGCACGCAGGCGGCACCGCGCGUGGGGUGUGAAAUCUGGCCGCUUAACGGCCAGGCGCCAUCCCAUACGGCGGAGCUGGAGUGAUGCAGAGGUCGAUGGAAUUGCCGGUGUAGUGGUGAAAUGCGCAGAUAUCAGGAAGAACACCCGUGGCGAAAGCGGCUCUCUGGAACGGUACUGACGCUGAGACGCGAAAGCGUGGGGAGCGAACAGG